GGCAAGCAUAGCGGUGAUGACGAGUCUGACGGAGCACUGCCGCGUGAGUGAUGAAGGUUUUCGGAUCGUAAAGCUCUGUUGUUAGGGAAGAACACGUGCAAAAAUAACUGCUUGCACCUUGACGGUACCUAACCAGAAAGCCACGGCUAACUACGUGCCAGCAGCCGCGGUAAUACGUAGGUGGCAAGCGUUGUCCGGAAUUAUUGGGCGUAAAGGGCUCGCAGGCGGUUUCUUAAGUCUGAUGUGAAAGCCCCCGGCUCAACCGGGGAGGGUCAUUGGAAACUGGGAAACUUGAUUGCAAAAAAGGAAAGGGAAAUUCCCCGUGUACCGGUGAAAUGCGUAAAGAUGUGAAGGAACACCAUGGGCGAAGGCAACUCUCUGGUCUGUAACUGACCCUAAGGACCGAAAGCGUGGGGAGCGAACAGGAUUAAAUACCCCCGGUAUCAAA
rnacentral:rRNA from 2 species